UGGAAAAGCUCUAUUGCUAUUUCGCGCGAGAAUCGACAUCGAUGUAAUGAAAGUGAAGGACGCACGACAAUGACGGAACGACCUGAAUAUUGGGUUAUCCUUUUUUUGUAAGUUACUAUUUAACCUCAUUAUUUGAAAUUUUAGAGUGAUGCUAUAUAGCCACAUUCAGUUGCAACCCUAGUUUAGCUGAUCCUAGAUGAUUGGCUAAAUGAAAGGUAAAAUUAAAUGACUUAUUUAAUUUCACUUAUUAUUUAAUGUCAAGUUAACGCCACCUAGACUGGGGUUGUAACCCUAGUGGGGUUAAUAGGAUUACUCAAAAUUAUAUGGUUGGGAUAUUGCUGUUGCUAUUGUGAUUUUUUUUUUUUUUUUUAAAUUGUGUGAUUGGAAAAGAAGAAUUUUUUUUGGGAU
rnacentral:lncRNA from 1 species